CACGUAGGGCGCAAGCGUUGUCCGGAAUUAUUGGGCGUAAAGAGCUCGUAGGCGGUUUGUCGCGUCUGCUGUGAAAACUCGGGGCUUAACUCCGGGCCUGCAGUGGGUACGGGCAGACUAGAGUGCGGUAGGGGAGACUGGAAUUCCUGGUGUAGCGGUGAAAUGCGCAGAUAUCAGGAGGAACACCGGUGGCGAAGGCGGGUCUCUGGGCCGUAACUGACGCUGAGGAGCGAAAGCGUGGGGGAGCGAACAGG
rnacentral:rRNA from 1 species